GUACGAACCGGGUCUGCGACGUCGCUCCUGGCACUCGCCGGCUGAGCGUCUCAGGCUCGGAAUCUACUCGACACGGUUACUAAGCGUGCAAAUGUAUUUAACAAUGUGGCUGCAAGAGGAGAAGAGCAAGAGGAAGAUUUCAGGGCAGUGUAUGAAGGAACUUCAGAUAUGGACAGAAGAGAGGAUAAUUGCGUGUAUGCUCAUAGAAGAAGGCUGAUUAGUGUCCUUCCUCAAGAAAUGACACAAGUUUUAAGUCCAACAUCAGCAAUGAGACAAGGCCUGGGUCUUCUCCAUUUCAGACACCUUCUUCCAGAGUCAUUGAGGGAAGAGUCAUCCAGAAGCCCCAUGUCUGGCUGAGUGGGACAGUGCUGAAAAGGAGUCCCCUGGGAACCCUUCACAUACUGCGUUCUGGAAGUCUUGAAAAGGUGAAGAACAAGUACUGUGGGGAUUUAACCAGACCUGAGAUGUACAAUGAAGAAUUCCGUCAAACCUAAGAAGACUGCAUCCCGAAGGAGUUGAAUCUGCAAAGAUGCUACUUCCCUCAGCAGGAGCUGGGAACUUGUGCAUUGCUCACAGAUAAGUUGAAACCCUGACCAAAAAAAAAAAAAAAAAAAAAAAAAAAAAAAAAAAAAAAAAAAAAAAAAUUGUCAUCAACGGAAAAUCAGUUUUGGUAUUACUGAAAAGAUGGUUAUUCCACCAUCAAUACUAUGCAUGGUGUAGCACGUACAUGUUUCUUUGUUGCUGAGUGGUACAAACUAUGUAAGGCCUGAUCUAGUACAAUACUGCAGUUUAAUUCUGUGUUUGUAGAGAUUACAUUUUUUAUAUCGAGACAUUUAGGCGUUUACUUGACGUGGAUGUUUUCCAAAAGCUAAGAUGAAAUAAUGAAAAAUGAUUUUCCCAAUCUAUUGCAACUGUUGUAAGGAAUGUAACAGCUGGUGAUCUACAGUUUAGUGACAGAUGAACAGACUGAUCUAUUCACCUGCAGAGUGUAGAUAAAAAAUAAUAAGAAAGGGAGAAUUUAAAUAGUAAAUAAAAGGGAGAAGGUGAAAGAUGUGCAACAACAUAUUCUUGUGUAAUUAAGUUAGAAAUUUUGAUCAGCGAUUAAAAUAAAAGCUGAUGUUGAAGGAGUUAGAGCAAAAAUUUGGUAAAAUGAGCUGAGACUACAGUUGGUAAGAGAGGAAAUCAAUUUGUGCACUUCUUAUGAGUCAUUUCCUUGCAAACUUACUUGCAGAUAAAAGUUGUUUUAAAAUACCAAUAUGGAUAUAUAGGCCGUGUUUUUGUGUUUUUGAUUUUGGAAUAGAGUCUUAAUCUUCUGGGCAUAUGUGGAUGGAAUAAAACACAAACACCUGAAAUUAGGUCUGAAGGGGGAUAAGAUAUCCACAUGAAUUUUGCCAGUGACCUUCUUUCAUGUAAACCUGCUGCUGACCAGGGUGAAGUGACAAACAUGCCCCCUUUAUUGAAUCUUGAAGCCGGGGGAGAGAUAAAACACACACCAAAUAAAUAAAUAAAUCUUAUUUCAGAAGGUAUUCUAACUACUUUCUCUCGGGUGUGAAUUUUAAGGAAUGAUUAUGUAGCCUUUCACACUGGAGUUUUAUAUCUUGGACUCAAGUUGAAUUCCCUUACUCUGGUUUGGACAUUUUUCAUCCUCUCUGUUAAACCUAUGCUUUGAAACAACAAAGACUGAUAGGAUGAAUCUUGGCUGUCAGUGUGCAAAAAGGGGACACUUAGGAUAUAAUUAUUCUGCUAUUUCUUUGAAAAUACUUUCCUAGUUACUUGAAGGAUAUAGCUUCCAAAAUUAUUGUGAUUCUCAUUUUCAUUACAAAACCAUCACCACCACCACCAAACAAUCCCAAGAGGAACAAAAGGGAAGUAUAAACUAUUCCCUAUUUAAUAUGCAACACAAUUAGAAAAGCAUGUGCCAUAUGGCUUUGCUUUCCUUCAGAGAAGUUCUGUGGUGAAGCAGACUAGAGCUUGCUUUCUUUCCAAGAUGAUAUCAAACUGUAAUUCUUCCCUAUCCAAACUUUCUUUGCAUUAUACUGAUAUAAACAUUUUCUAAAUACUGAACAGGUCAUAUUUGUCAUUCACUGAGUUUUCUGGGCCUGAGCCAAUGUCUCUGCAGUGAUGCAAGUAUAUCCUUCCCUAGCUGCAUGUUACGUGCUCUGCAUAAAAAACUGACAAAAAAGAUACUGCAUGCAGUUAUACUAUAUAUUUUUUCUGUCUCUGCUCAGAUAUGUUCAGAAGACUGCUCAAAGGCAAUAAGCACUCAGUGAGAAACCUUUUCAUGCCAAAUUUGUGCCCUCCAGCCCAGCUGUUUCAGUUGUAAAUGUCUUUGGAAGAAGUUCACAACAGCAACCAUUUUCAUGAAGAAAAGGAACUCGGUCAGACUGUCCUUGCAGAGGAGUUUGUUCUGGAGGAAAGCUGCCUGCCACCUGCCUUCCAAGGAACUGCCAGCUUUACCUGGAGAAAAUAGCCCAUCUGCUAAGUUAUACAGCUCUUUCAUUCUUCAGCCCAGGUUACUGGUGAAGAUUUUAUAUGUACAGCCUUGUUUUUAAUACUUCCAGCUGUUCAUUUUUCCUGUGAAAGGAAAUCCCUGGAUAGAGACACAACAAUCCUGAAGACUAAAUCUGACAUGGUGGGCUGGAUGACUAAAGAGGACAAGUAGCAUUUGCAUAUUUUCAAUCCAGGUGCCUGAUUCAAAUGCUCCACUGAAAGCCAUUGCUCCCGGUGGGUUUUGUAGCAGCCUUCUGGAAAUGGAACUGGGACUUUUGGUGUUAUAGUGUAAUGAUUCUGAAGAUAUUUGGUCAGCCUUCUGAGGUCUGCAGGAGGUAAUCAUUCAAUAACGGUGCUAUCAAUAAUACUUAUGAAAAAUCAAGCUUAAUGGUUGUCGGAUGGUGUUUUAUAACACUAGCAGAUAAAAACAGAAGUGCGUGCUGUGCAGGCUUCUUGAAGAAGGUACUUGAAGAAGGCUUCCAGUAUGGAAGAAGUUGAAAAUGGACAUGAGAGAGAAUAGGAGGAAAUGCAGUAUGGUACUUUCAGAAGUAAUCGGUCAGGAGAUAAUUAUUGCAAACAUAGAUACUUAGUGGGAGGAAACUGCGCAGAAGGCAGAAAUGACUGAAAUGACGUCGAGAUGACAACACAUUUAAAAAUGAGGAAUAUUUUGGCUAAGAAAUUAUUUUUAGGAAUUGAGGAGUGAGUGACCGGCUGUUUUGCUGAGCUGCUUGCCAGAAGUGCUUAAAGGACUGGCACAGUUACCUCCCAUGAACCUUCUCUUCUAUCAAGUCACAGCUGAGGAUGGUGGGGAGCACAGAAUUGCCUUCCCUCUCCCAGGAACGAGGACCAGGACAUAAAUUGCCAGACACUGAUCACAGACAAAGGGCCAACAUUUUCUGAAGGACCUCAUCCAAUGGACACCGUGAGUCUUCAGUGAGCUCUGCAUCAGGCCUCUAUCAUGCUCCAGCUUAUUUCACAGGACCUAUGGCAGACCCAAGUCCUCGGCUUCCCAACCUCAGCUUUCUCAAACAAAAAUAAAUGAAGAUGGGUUACCCAAGCAAUGGUUGAGAAGAUAAUGGAAAUAGGGAAGAAUCUCAGAAAAGUGGAAAACUCAGUUGUCACCCUGAUUAUGGAUGGAGAAGAACCUGUGAAGUUCAGGCUGAAAAAUGGAUGGAGUGUCCAAGAUGGGUGCCUUUAAAACAGAAGACAAAGCAACAAGAGGAGAAACCCCAAAUUGUCACCAGUCUCUGCAAAUGGAUUUCAACUAUAAGCAGACACGUUCUUGAACUCAUAUCAGAGGAUUUGUUAAAUCCUGAUACUUCCAUGAAUUCAAACAGGAAACAAAGUCUGUGCGACACAGAUGUAAUCAAAUGGAUGAAACCUCAGUUAUGAAACCAACAAAGAUGGAGUCUUAGGAGCAAAGAGUAUCUUCCCUUUUAUCUGAGAUAAAAUCUGUCUCAGGUUCUGCAAUUAAGUGCUCAGCUCCACCUGCUCCUUCUGCCUUUUCCUGCAUCCUGACCACUUCAUUUAAAGCUCAUGAUUCCCAGCAGAGAACUUAAGAAAACUCUCUUUGCUAAGAGAAUGGAAGAAUGGAGAGCAGAAGCCCAUGGUGUCCUGAGAAAGUGACCUGCUGGGGACAGAAAAUGUGGUGGAGGACCUUGAAAGCAAAAUCAUGAAGGGAAAUGUGCUUUGUCCCAGUGGCAGAAGUCACAACCCAGCCUCUUCUGUUACUGAAUUUAUUGGACUCAGUGCAGCUGCCACAUAACCAGGUGAAUUUUGGGAUCUCAAAAGGAUAACUACCAGUUUUAAGAGCAGCUGGAGGAGCGAAUGCUUCAUUCUGAAGAUGACAACCAGGAGGCCUGGAGUGCACUAAAGCAACCACCAGCAGUGCCUGGGAGAGCAGCAUACUGUCAGUGUGAGAAGGUCAGAUGCCGGGGCAUGAUUUUCUGGGGCUUCACAUCCACAAGAUGGUGUUACAGCUUCGCUGGACAGGCAGAGGAUACAGCUUUGAGAAAAAAGAAGGUGCAGCAACACACAGUUGUUUUGGCUCCUCUAUCCCUGGUUUGCUGUCAGUGUGAUGAGAGUGCAAGAAUCCUCCUUAAAGGUUCUAAAAUGGACUCAGUAUGAUGGAUGGAAAGCACCUUCAUCUGAUGAUGCUGAAGGAGACUGUGGAUUCCAGCUGCAAGCCAAUCCUGUGGUUUGCAGUUCAGCGAGAAUUUGGUUCACAUGCCACAUUCAGCGGCCAAGAGAACUAAAACAGACAUUUUUUCCCCUGAUUCAUAACUUCUUGAUUCUCUGAGUGGAUACCAUCCCCUGUGUUAGAAGGUCUGUUUGCAUGACCUAAGAAAAAUCCAGAAAAAAAAAAAAAAAAAAAACGAAACACAAAACAACAGUGACAUCAUGAAGAGGUAUUUCAUUUUGUCAUAAAAUCCACUGAAAGCUGGGAUUUCUUUUCAAGUAUUUACAAGAGACUAUGAAUCCUUCACCUCUCUGGUGCAUAAUUUGUGUUCCAGUCUCUGAGUUCUUCUAAGUAAGAGAUACCUCUGUUCUGUACAUCCUAUAUCUGCAGUCACUUGCAGGAACUUAUUAACCAGCUAUGCAGUAGAGCUUGCAAUGUAUUUUCUUUCUGUACUGUGGAAGCCAUCAGUUUUCAAACUCCUGUAAGACCAGAAGAGCACUCACUGUGGCAGCAUAAAACACAAAGGUCUGGACUGCCUACUCUGGGAGAUCAGUGCCUUCCAUUUCUGUCAGGAUUUCUUUCCAGGGCUGAGGUGUCACCUCUGAAUUAAGUUCACAAAGGACAAACCAAUUCUGAACAUACUUCUAUAAAUCCUCGUGGGACACAGUAUGGGGGCCCUUCCAGGAUGUGACCUUUAGAUAUUGACAGAGGAGGUGUAUAUGCGUGUAUUCUCAUAUGAUGGCAGCAGAGGGGCAGACUGACGGAAUCCAUCGGAAGCAAGGGUGUGCCACUGAAUUCCUCCAUGCAAGAAAAAAUGCCACCCAUUGACACUGAUCAAUGCUUGCUGAAUGUUUCUGAAGACCAACCUGUGGGUGUGAGCACAAUGAGGUGGCUUUGGGAUGAGGAGGAGACAGAUGUGAGAGCACAUGUGAAGGCUGGCACUUGCUGUGGGACAAGGAGUCACAGGCAGUCUGCGGUGCUGCUGGUAUUAAACAAGGAACCACUGAAAAACAGUAAAUUUAAAACCAUCAAAAAGCUUCAAGAUUCUUCUUGGAUGAGAUCCUUGUUAUCUUGGAUGUGUAAAUCCUACUGCAACUCAGUGACAGUCAAACUUACUUGUUCGCACCUUCUUUAAAGCUAUGGAAAACUUUGCUUGCUACAGAAAUUACGAAGUUAAAUAUACCUUCAGAUUUCUGUGGAUAUAAACCAUUUCUCCCUGAAUUUUGUUGGCCAGAUUGAAUUUCUCUUUUUUUUUAGGGAAAUAUGCAUCAUUUGGUAUUAACUUAUUAGGUGGUGGUACUUGGUAAGUAAAUGUAUUUUUAAAAUUUUACAGAAUAUUUCUUUCAAAAUAGCUGUAAGAUAUUGAAAUAACUAUUUUAUAACACCUCCUAUCAUGAUUGAAUGGAACAAAAUAAUGUCUGAUAUUGUCUAUCUGAGUAACUUCAUCCUUCUUCCAAAUUUGCUGAAUGAUCAUUUACUGUUUCCCAUUUCAGAUGAUCGAACAUUUCAUUGAUGAAGCUCAUAAAAAACUUAUUCAAAACCAUACUGAAAUUCAAUGACAUAUCUGAAAAUUAAAUGUUUUUUGUGCACGGACCAACCAUAGGUUAUAUCAGCAAGAUCCUUAUGUGAUCAAUUAGUGCUCCAAAGACAAACCUCUCUCCAGGAGUAAAAUAUGAGCCCCAGUCCUGGAGGGGAUUAACCCUCAGUUCGAGAAUAGUUAUUCAUUCCUGUAAUUGAAUACAAAAGACAUAGGGAUUGAUUUUCACCUAUACCCAAAUUCAUGGCUCCUGGGAGGGUAUGAGCUGCUGACAAAUAAUUUCAGCUUCAGCCAUUGAUUAUGCUUCUAUAGUGAACAUUACAUAUACAGUAAGGUUGAUAUAAUAUAUAUUGCUGGAGUAAUAUAAUAUAAGUACUCCCCAUUUCUUAACCUAUCUUUCACUACCCUUAAGCUGUGCCGUGCACAGGAGAUGUAGAAUUCGGCUUCCUAGGAAGGAAAUGGCCAUGAAGCAGAAAAAUGAAUUCACCCUCAUUGUAUUGUAGUGAUGUGGUGAAGAUAAUCACUGCAGCUUUAUUCCAUUUAUUUUGAAAGAGAAAGCCUUUGCCUUUUCAAACUGCCUUGACCAUAUCACCACUCAUCUAUUUGCAAUGAAAAUCUGACAUCAGAGUACAGAAUUAUAGCUGGAGAAAUUGUCUUCUCAUUUCAUAUUUACCUUGUUUCCUCUCCUGAGUCACUGGAAAUGCAGCGACCUAGGUCCGUGCUUUUACACUUUUUUUUACUAUAUAUACACACGUAGAUAAAAAAAUUAGUGUGUGUGUACUGCCAAACUCUUCAGCUCACUACUCAUCUUCCCAGGUGUCUUCACACACCGUAAUUUCUGGUGUUUAAAAUUGGUAGACUGCAAAAAGUAGCACUCCUGCGUUCCCUCUCAUUCAUAUUGUGAAUAUUCAGUUCUCCAAGAAUUUUGCUGCUGGUGUCUGACCAGCCAAGCCCAUAUCAGAAUCGGCCACAGUCUAAUCAUAGUUUUUACCAAUUAAAACUUGUGUGCUAUAAUUUGUUUUUGUUUGUUUGUUUGUUUGUUUUGAUAACCUAAAGCAUAUUCUACUGUUUGCUGUUAAAAUAAAAUCCUUUCUGUUUACCUCCUCAUGGCUCACUGAAAAAAAUAUAUGCUUACAAUUGCAGCUUUCAAAAUGUUUUUUAUUUCUUCAGAUUUCUACUACAAAGCUUCAAUGUAAUCAAUAAUUCUAACUAGCUAUCUGACAGAGUACUUAACUUUAUUUUUCCUAAUAAAAACAAAUAGUUGGAGAAGAAUGUGUCCAAAGCCAUUUUUUUCCAUUCCUUUCUCAUGGCUUGCCUCUUGUCUUCUGUAUAAGGAAUUUUAGCAUUUCAAAUUUUAAGCUGAAGAUAAAUCCUUCUUUUUGAAGAAGUGUUUCUCACCAAGAGAGCCUUUUUUUUUUUUAAAGUAAGGAUAGCAAAUCCAGCCUGAUAGAACAAACACCUGAAGACAUUUUCUGUACAAUAAUAUCUCUUUAACAGAAUUAAAAUUCUAGAGAUUUAAUUCUUUGCAGACUUAACUCAACUGAAGGAAUAAGAAAUGCUGUGAUAAAACAAUAUGAUUACUUCAGUCUCCAUGUAGUAUAAAGUACGAUUCUACAGGAUUUCUUCAGUAGCCCAUGUCCAUAGUGAUCUUAAUUUUUGCUUUGUCAGAAGAGCUCUAUGAUAGGUUAAUUCUUCAGAAAUACUUAUCGUCCAUUACAUCAGAUUUCAUUUAUUUCUCCACUAUGAAAUGCAAUUUUUGGAAUUAUUAUUCUUUUUAUUAUUGUUGCUAUUACAGAACUUCCAGUGUUGGACAAAUUUACUGCUGGUACCUUCCUGUUUUCAUCCCUUUUCUUCCAAAUCCAGUGCCUAACCAAUUGAUUGUUUACUUGGAUAAACAAUUUGUUUUCCCUAAUGAAAAAAGAUAAGACUUCAUUGCCUAUUUUGUGUGGAACUGGGGCUCCUCUAGCUUCUGCAUUUUUUCCUAUUACAUCAUAAGUCCUACUUCUAGACAGAAAUAAGAAUGAGAGAUUGCAGCCUGUAGAGCUGCUACUUAUAUAGCUGCUAGAGUUACUAUCUUAGCAUGCUCAAACAUAUUCCUUAUCUGCUUCUUUUUCACUGUUCUUUUCUGAUUAAUGGUGGAUUUCCUGAUAUGUUAGGAUAUUACUGUCCUAUCUGCAGAAAUAUUGUCUCUCAUUUGGAGGAUGGUGGGAUUUUUUUCAACUUAAAUUUUUACUUUGUGCAUUGUAAUACUAAUUUCAGUUCCUAAUUUUCCAGUAAGGCAAUUAGGACACUAAAAUUUCCCAAUCACGGA
ensembl:lncRNA